rnacentral:misc_RNA from 1 species
GAAAAAUAGCCUAAUAUUGAUAUUUCUAUACCUUAAAGGCUUGGGGAAUAGAGAAGUCUCAAUUUGAGUCUCCCUAUAUACCUCUUCUAUAAUUAUUCACAUUUACAACGAGAGAAAGAUGUAGCCCAUAAGUUGUGAGCAAAUGCAACAGUCAUUCUGUUAUUACAACAAUAGACUUCAUAUAGCAUUCCUGUGACAAAUCAGUUCACACCCGAAAAAGUCUCUAACCUUUUCUCCACUAUGCUGUAUAGCUGAUAAAAAUAUAGAUAAAAAAAAUAAAUUCAGCAUAAUAAGGAUGCUGCAUUACCAUCGGUUGGCCGUUUAAGAUUCAUGCUAUGCCCAUGGAUAAGGCUUCAAAAGGACGAGUAAACAUAAAGCAUUACAAUAUAACCUGAAUAUAGCUAAGAUUAAUCUAUCUACAAAUUGGUAGAGAGAUUAUUGCUUAGAACUAGAAUAUGCUCCUAAUAGAUAUUAGAUUGAUGUAGGACCCACACAUGAUGUCCAUCACCCCGUUUCCAGAGGAAGCACGGCUGUCCGAUCUAAUGAUUUCACCAAAUGUCAGGCGUUAACAGUUGACUUGAAGUGAUCAUCGUCAAUUGUUGAGUAAACAAAGCCAUUGUCAACAAGAGACUGUAAUUCGUCCAUGAGCUUAUCCAUUGGAAUAUUUAGCUGCUGGGCAACAACGUUGCGGUGCACUCCAUCCUCGUUUGUAAGGUAUAUGGGCUGCUGCAAAAAAUUCAAUAUCAUCUGACCAACAUUGUUCAAUCCAUCAGCAGACGAAUAAGCAGAAGAUUGAUUUAGAGGGGCCGUUUGGUAUCCUUUCAAAGGGGUGUUCAUGGUUGAAUUUGCCAGCUGUGACUGAGUAGUGGCACCCGGUAGCUUAUAAAGGGUAGAUGUAUAUAUUUCAUUACAAGAAAGAGGUCAGAACAUGAGAACAGGAAAAGAUAUCAUAUAAUUUGACUUGAAUCAUGUUAAAAUGAGAAAUUUUAGGACAUGCCAAUACCCGUAUCCUUUUAUUGUAGAAAUGGACAUAAAUACACUCAAUGAAGUGGCUAGUAAUCUCAUUGAAGUCAGUAAUAGGCCUGAAAACCAUUGUCAAGUUUGAAAUUAAAACUCAAAAGUUGAGCUUGUACAUAAAAUUAUAAAGAGAAGGGUGCAUAAAUGAACGUGAAAUACUGGAAACUUUAGUGUGAUCAUAGAAAUUGAUAAUAACGAAAUAUGAACAUUAAAAGAACCACCAUAGGGGGCUGGCUGUUGUAAAAAUGGACAUGUUCUUCAGCGCUUCAAAUAAAUGCAGUUAUACUAAACAUAAGACCUUAAAUCAGAGGAAAGUGAUUUUUCACCCCAUGUUUUGUAACAUUUUUAGACAACAUAAAGUUUUUUCUUGGAUUAUUUGAAAAAUGAAAAAUAACAAAAAAGAUCCCAAAGGCCAAGUAAUUGACACUAAUUGUGUUUAAUUGAUAUAUAUAGUUAAACAAUCAAUCUAUAUUAUCUUCGUCAAAAUUCAAAAGCAAAAAUAUCUAUCAUAUUCAACCACAAGAGAUCCACUAAAAAACCCGGUUGCCAGCAAACUAUUGCUGUGAAUAUUCAAAGUUUAACCAUAUAUCCUGGAUAGGAAGUGAUGUUGAUUAGAUGCUAAAUUGUGUUGCUUGAAUGAAUUUUGCUACCCAAGGUCCAAAACCAGAUGGAGAUACAACUCAACAAAAGUUUAUUAAAGUUCAAAAGAAAGGUAAACACAAUCUAAACCUUUCUCGAGUUUAUACUUGAAAAUUACAAGCUACAUUAAAUAAGGCAAUAUAGAGCAAACCAAGAGAAUAGAGGGAAGCUAAAAAUGAAAAUGCGCACACACACACACACACA